AUGAACGCUAGCUACAGGCUUAACACAUGCAAGUCGAGGGGCAGCAUGGUCUUAGCUUGCUAAGGCUGAUGGCGACCGGCGCACGGGUGAGUAACACGUAUCCAACCUGCCGUCUACUCUUGGCCAGCCUUCUGAAAGGAAGAUUAAUCCAGGAUGGGAUCAUGAGUUCACAUGUCCGCAUGAUUAAAGGUAUUUUCCGGUAGACGAUGGGGAUGCGUUCCAUUAGAUAGUAGGCGGGGUAACGGCCCACCUAGUCAACGAUGGAUAGGGGUUCUGAGAGGAAGGUCCCCCACAUUGGAACUGAGACACGGUCCAAACUCCUACGGGAGGCAGCAGUGAGGAAUAUUGGUCAAUGGGCGAUGGCCUGAACCAGCCAAGUAGCGUGAAGGAUGACUGCCCUAUGGGUUGUAAACUUCUUUUAUAAAGGAAUAAAGUCGGGUAUGCAUACCCGUUUGCAUGUACUUUAUGAAUAAGGAUCGGCUAACUCCGUGCCAGCAGCCGCGGUAAUACGGAGGAUCCGAGCGUUAUCCGGAUUUAUUGGGUUUAAAGGGAGCGUAGAUGGAUGUUUAAGUCAGUUGUGAAAGUUUGCGGCUCAACCGUAAAAUUGCAGUUGAUACUGGAUGUCUUGAGUGCAGUUGAGGCAGGCGGAAUUCGUGGUGUAGCGGUGAAAUGCUUAGAUAUCACGAAGAACUCCGAUUGCGAAGGCAGCCUGCUAAGCUGCAACUGACAUUGAGGCUCGAAAGUGUGGGUAUCAAACAGGAUUAGAUACCCUGGUAGUCCACACGGUAAACGAUGAAUACUCGCUGUUUGCGAUAUACGGCAAGCGGCCAAGCGAAAGCGUUAAGUAUUCCACCUGGGGAGUACGUUCGCAAGAAUGAAACUCAAAGGAAUUGACGGGGACCCGCACAAGCGGUGGAGCAUGUGGUUUAAUUCGAAGCAACGCGAAGAACCUUACCAAGUCUUGACAUCCUGCGACGGUGCUGGAAACAGUACUUUCCUUCGGGACGCAGAGACAGGUGGUGCAUGGUUGUCGUCAGCUCGUGCCGUGAGGUGUCGGCUUAAGUGCCAUAACGAGCGCAACCCUUGUUGUCAGUUACUAACAGGUGAUGCUGAGGACUCUGACAAGACUGCCAUCGUAAGAUGUGAGGAAGGUGGGGAUGACGUCAAAUCAGCACGGCCCUUACGUCCGGGGCUACACACGUGUUACAAUGGGGGGUACAGAGGGCCGCUACCACGCGAGUGGAUGCCAAUCCCUAAAACCCCUCUCAGUUCGGACUGGAGUCUGCAACCCGACUCCACGAAGCUGGAUUCGCUAGUAAUCGCGCAUCAGCCACGGCGCGGUGAAUACGUUCCCGGGCCUUGUACACACCGCCCGUCAAGCCAUGGGAGCCGGGGGUACCUGAAGUGCGUAACCGCGAGGAUCGCCCUAGGGUAAAACUGGUGACUGGGGCU
rnacentral:rRNA from 1 species